UACGUAGGUGGCAAGCGUUUGUCCGGAUUUACUGGGCGUAAAGAGCGCGCAGGCGGUCGACCAAGUCGCGUGUGAAAGCCCCCCGGCUCAACUGGGGAGGGUCACGCGAUACUGAUCGACUGGAAGGCAGGAGAGGGUAGUGGAAUUCCCGGUGUAGUGGUGAAAUGCGUAGAUAUCGGGAGGAACACCAGUGGCGAAGGCGACUACCUGGCCUGUUCUUGACGCUGAGGCGCGAAAGCUAGGGGAGCAAACGGG
rnacentral:rRNA from 1 species